rnacentral:misc_RNA from 1 species
UACGUAGGGUGCAAGCGUUGUCCGGAAUUAUUGGGCGUAAAGAGCUCGUAGGCGGCGUGUCGCGUCGGCUGUGAAAACCCGAGGCUCAACCUCGGGCCUGCAGUCGAUACGGGCAGGCUAGAGUUCGGUAGGGGAGACUGGAAUUCCUGGUGUAGCGGUGAAAUGCGCAGAUAUCAGGAGGAACACCGGUGGCGAAGGCGGGUCUCUGGGCAGUAACUGACGCUGAGGAGCGAAAGCGUGGGGAGCAAACAGG